rnacentral:piRNA from 1 species
UGUAUGGAACAAGGAUCCGCCUAUUUUCU